rnacentral:misc_RNA from 1 species
GAUGAAGAACGUAGUGAAAUGCGAUAAGUAGUGUGAAUUGCAGAAUUCCGUGAAUCAUCGAAUCUUUGAACGCACAUUGCGCCUUCUGGUAUUCCGGAAGGCAUGCCUGUUCGAGAGUCAUUAACAACCGUUUCGAUCCCUUUCUUUCAGAAAUUACAAAGAGGAAAAGGGUUUGGUUAUGGUGGAGGAGGGAAAGGGAGCGUUUAGCUUGUAAAAAAAGAGGCUGUGUUCCGCCUCCCACCCAAAAUUGUACAGGCGGUCGUGUGCGCCCACGCAUCGAGGUGUUGUAAAAGCUGCCACGGCACUUUUCACCUGUGCAGUGCGAGAUUGGCCAGCCGGUUUAAAAACCCCUCCAAACAAUCAAAGGUUGACCUCGGAUCAGGUAGGGAUACCCGCUGAACUUAAGCAUAUCAAUAAGCGGAGG